rnacentral:rRNA from 1 species
GACGAACCGUGCGAACGUUGUUCGGAUUCACUGGGCUUAAAGGGCGCGUAGGCGGGUGGUCAAGUCAGAGGUGAAAUCCUCCAGCUUAACUGGAGAAGUGCCCCUGAUACUGGCCAUCUCGAGGGAGGUAGGGGCAUGUGGAACUUCCGGUGGAGCGGUGAAAUGCGUAGAUAUCGGAAGGAACGCCGGUGGCGAAAGCGGCGUACUGGACCUCUUCUGACGCUGAGGCGCGAAAGCUAGGGGAGCAAACGGG